rnacentral:rRNA from 1 species
GGGACCCGUCUUGAAACACGGACCAAGGAGUCUAGCAUGUGCGCGAGUCAUUGGGACUCUAACGAAACCUAAAGGCGUAAUGAAAGUGAAGGUUCGCCACGCGCGAACCGAGGGAGGAUGGACGGUCGAUCGUGGCCGUCCCGCACUCCCUGGGCGUCUCGUUCUCAUCGCGAGAAGAGGCGCACCAAGAGCGUACACGCUGGGACCCGAAAGAUGGUGAACUAUGCCUGGUCAGGACGAAGUCAGGGGAAACCCUGAUGGAGGUCCGUAGCGAUUCUGACGUGCAAAUCGAUCGUCGGAACUGGGUAUAGGGGCGAAAGACUAAUCGAACCAUCUAGUAGCUGGUUCCCUCCGAAGUUUCCCUCAGGAUAGCUGGCGCUCGCUUUUCGCGAGUCUCAUUCGGUAAAGCGAAUGAUUAGAGGCAUUGGGGUCGAAACGGCCUCAACCUAUUCUCAAACUUUAAAUGGGUGAGAUCUCCGGCUUGCUUGAACUGUGAAGCCGCGAGAUAUCGGAUCAGAGUGCCAAGUGGGCCACUUUUGGUAAGCAGAACUGGCGCUGUGGGAUGAACCAAACGCAAAGUUAAAGCGCCUAAAUCGACGCUUAUGGGAUACCAUGAAAGGCGUUGGUAACUUAAGACAGCAGGACGGUGGCCAUGGAAGUCGGAAUCCGCUAAGGAGUGUGUAAA